AAGCGUUACAUGUGACGAGAGCCUCAGAUAGCGCUCUGGAGAGCCCAUCGAUGCACCUUGUGACCUGCACACUGAAGUGCAAGCCUGUCUAUUUUGCUUUCUUUGUAAAUUGUGCUUGAAAGUGAGGGCUGCUUGUUUCAGUACCAGCAGCAGAUUUGUAGUGACUAAAGCGUGUAUCCAGUUACUAUGUAUGACAACUUGGAAAUGUAGAGACAACUUCACAUUUUUAACUGUGGGAUGUCAUGCUUGAACAUAAUACUCAGCAACUGAAGAAAUGGCAAGAAAUCUAUAGAAAAAGAUGCCUAAAUACCAAUUAGCAAGUACAUAUGUAGAGUU
rnacentral:lncRNA from 1 species